GUCAGUUCAUUCAGGGCUCCAACUAUUGUCCUUCACCCCAGAAAAUAAAAUGAACUAAACAGACAUACAGGCUUCACUUUGCUUCCUUCACCCCUGCUCAGAAUGAGCCUUGUUACAGUCUACCAUCCAUGAAGGGUUAUCUGAGGUACAGCGUACCGUCCAUGAAGGGUUAUCUGAGGUACAGCGUACCGUCCAUGAAGGGUUAUCUGAGGUACAGCGUACCGUCCAUGAAGGGUUAUCUGAGGUACAGCGUACCGUCCAUGAAGGGUUAUCUGAGGUACAGCGUACCGUCCAUGAAGGGUUGAGGUACAGUGUAACGUGUUACAGUCUACCUCCCAUGAAGGGUUGAGGUACAGUGUAACGUGUUACAGUCUACCUCCCAUGAAGGGGUGAGGUACAGUGUAACGUGUUACAGUCUACCGCCCAUGAAGGGGUGAGGUACAGUGUAACGUGUUACAGUCUACCUCCCAUGAAGGGUUGAGGUACAGUGUAACGUGUUACAGUCUACCUCCCAUGAAGGGGUGAGGUACAGUGUAACGUGUUACAGUCUACCUCCCAUGAAGGGUUGAGGUACAGUGUAACGUGUUACAGUCUACCUCCCAUGAAGGGUUGAGGUACAGUGUAACGUGUUACAGUCUACCUCCCAUGAAGGGGUGAGGUACAGUGUAACGUGUUACAGUCUACCUCCCAUGAAGGGUUGAGGUACAGUGUAACGUGUUACAGUCUACCUCCCAUGAAGGGUUGAGGUACAGUGUAACGUGUUACAGUCUACCUCCCAUGAAGGGGUGAGGUACAGUGUAACGUGUUACAGUCUACCGCCCAUGAAGGGUUGAGGUACAGUGUAACGUGUUACAGUCUACCUCCCAUGAAGGGGUGAGGUACAGUGUAACGUGUUACAGUCUACCUCCCAUGAAGGGGUGAGGUACAGUGUAACGUGUUACAGUCUACCUCCCAUGAAGGGUUGAGGUACAGUGUAACGUGUUACAGUCUACCUCCCAUGAAGGGUUGAGGUACAGUGUAACGUGUUACAGUCUACCUCCCAUGAAGGGUUGAGGUACAGUGUAACGUGUUACAGUCUACCUCCCAUGAAGGGUUGAGGUACAGUGUAACGUGUUACAGUCUACCUCCCAUGAAGGGGUGAGGUACAGUGUAACGUGUUACAGUCUACCUCCCAUGAAGGGUUAUCUGAGGUAUUGUGCAAGGCCUUGGACCUGCUCAUGAAAUGAACAAGAUCCCUGUGAAAGAGAUGGAGCCGCCAGGCUCCUGCUCAUAUAAACUGAACCAGAUGGGAGUUUCACCAAAGGUCCUUGGCUCCCGCUGAGGC